AUUGAACGCUGGCGGCAGGCCUAACACAUGCAAGUCGAACGGUAACAGGAAGAAGCCUGCUUCUUUGCUGACGAGUGGAGGACGUGUGAGUAAUGUCUGGGAAACUGCCUGAUGGAGGGGGAUAACUACUGGAAACGGUAGCUAAUACCGCAUAACGUCGCAAGACCAAAAAGGGGGACCUGCGGGCCUCUUGCCAUCGGAUGUGCCCAGAUGGGAUUAGCUAGUAGGUGGGGUAACGGCUCACCUAGUCGACGAUCCUUAGCGCGUCUGAGAGGAUGACCAGCCACGCUGGAACUGAGACACGGUCCAGACUCCUACGGGAGGCAGCAGUGGGGAAUAUUGCACAAUGGGCGCAAGCCUGAUGCAGCCAUGCCGCGUGUAUGAAGAAGGCCUUCGGGUUGUAAAGUACUUUCAGCGGGGAGGAAGGGAGUAAAGUUAAUACCUUUGCUCAUUGACGUUACCCGCAGAAGAAGCACCGGCUAACUCCGUG
rnacentral:rRNA from 1 species